CGCCUUGCCACGCCCGCUCAGAAACUACAAAGGAAUUGACGGGGGCCCGGCACAAGCGGUGGAGCAUGUGGUUUAAUUCGACGCAACGCGAAGAACCUUACCAGGGCUUGACAUCCCCUGACCGCGUAUGAAAGUACGUUUUCACCCUCGGGUGACAGGGAGACAGGUGGUGCAUGGUUGUCGUCAGCUCGUGUCGUGAGAUGUUGGGUUAAGUCCCGCAACGAGCGCAACCCCUACGUUUAGUUGCUAACAGGUGAAGCUGAGCACUCUAGACGAACUGCCGUUGACAAAACGGAGGAAGGUGGGGAUGACGUCAAAUCAUCAUGCCCCUUAUGUUCUGGGCUACACACGUGCUACAAUGGCCGGUACAGACGGAGGCGAAGCCGCGAGGCGGAGCAAAUCCGAAAAAGCCGGUCUCAGUUCGGAUUGCAGGCUGCAAUUCGCCUGCAUGAAGUCGGAAUCGCUAGUAAUCGCAGGUCAGCAUACUGCGGUGAAUACGUUCCCGGGCCUU
rnacentral:rRNA from 1 species